UCUACGGGUGGCAGCAGUGAGGAAUAUUGGUCAAUGGGCGGAAGCCUGAACCAGCCAAGUCGCGUGAGGGAAUAAGGCCCUACGGGUCGUAAACCUCUUUUGUCGGGGAGCAAAAGACGCCACGCGUGGCGUUCCGAGAGUACCCGAAGAAAAAGCAUCGGCUAACUCCGUGCCAGCAGCCGCGGUAAUACGGAGGAUGCGAGCGUUAUCCGGAUUUAUUGGGUUUAAAGGGUGCGCAGGCGGAAGAUCAAGUCAGCGGUAAAAUUGAGAGGCUCAACCUCUUAGAGCCGUUGAAACUGGUUUUCUGGAGUGAGCGAGACGUAUGCGGAAUGAGGGGUGUAGCGGUGAAAGGCAUAGAUAUCACGCAGAACUCCGAUUGCGAAGGCAGCAUACCGGCGCUCAACUGACGCUCAUGCACGAAAGUGUGGGUAUCGAACAGGAUUAGAUACCCCGGUAGUC
rnacentral:rRNA from 1 species